CGCAAGCCUGACGGAGCAAGACCGCGUGCGGGAUGACGGCCUAAUGGUUGUAAACCGCUUUUCUCUGGGAAGAUGAUGACGGUACCAGAGGAAUCAGCCUCGGCUAACUCCGUGCCAGCAGCCGCGGUAAUACGGAGGAGGCAAGCGUUAUCCGGAAUUAUUGGGCGUAAAGCGUCCGUAGGUGGUUAUUCAAGUCUGCUGUCAAAGCGUGGGGCUUAACUCCAUAGAGGCAGUGGAAACUGGAUGACUUGAGUGCGGUAGGGGUCGAGGGAAUUCCCAGUGUAGCGGUGAAAUGCGUAGAUAUUGGGAAGAACACCAGUGGCGAAAGCGCUCGACUGGGCCUGCACUGACACUGAGGGACGAAAGUUAGGGGAGCG
rnacentral:rRNA from 1 species